rnacentral:rRNA from 1 species
GACGAACGCUGGCGGCGCGCCUAACACAUGCAAGUCGAACGGAGCUGAGAGAAGCUUGCUUUUCUUAGCUUAGUGGCGAACGGGUGAGUAACGCGUGAGUAACCUGCCCUGGAGCGGGGGACAACAGUUGGAAACGACUGCUAAUACCGCAUAAGCCCACGAUCCGGCAUCGGCUUGAGGGAAAAGGAUUUAUUCGCUUCAGGAUGGACUCGCGUCCAAUUAGCUAGUUGGUGAGGUAACGGCCCACCAAGGCGACGAUUGGUAGCCGGACUGAGAGGUUGAACGGCCACAUUGGGACUGAGACACGGCCCAGACCCCUACGGGAGGCAGCAGUGGGGGAUAUUGCACAAUGGGGGAAACCCUGAUGCAGCGACGCCGCGUGGAGGAAGAAGGUUUUCGGAUUGUAAACUCCUGUCGUUAGGGACGAUAAUGACGGUACCUAACAAGAAAGCACCGGCUAACUACGUG